rnacentral:misc_RNA from 1 species
AAUUCUCAACCUUUGUUAACUUUUUAGUUAGCAAGUGGAUUGGAAGUGGGGGCAUGUUGGUUUCUUCAUUGAAAUGAACUCCCCUGAAAUGCAUUAGCUGGUUGCCUUGUGCAAACAUGUCUAUUGGUGUGAUAAUUAUCUACGCCGUGGGCUAUUUGCCGUUUAUAGCACUGCUUAUAAUCGUCUGUUCAUUCAGACAAUACAUGACA